rnacentral:rRNA from 1 species
AGGUAAGCUACUAAGAGCGAAUGGUGGAUGCCUUGACUGGUAAAGGCGAUGAAGGACGUACUAGACUGCGAUAAGCUACGGGGAGCUGUCAAGAAGCUUUGAUCCGUAGAUUUCCGAAUGGGGCAACCCAAUGUAUAGAGAUAUACAUUACCUAUAUAGGAGCGAACGAGGGGAAUUGAAACAUCUUAGUACCCUCAGGAAAAGAAAUCAAUAGAGAUUGCGUCAGUAGCGGCGAGCGAAAGCGCAAGAGGGCAAACCCAGUGCUUGCACUGGGGGUUGUAGGACUGCAAUGUGCAAGAGCUGAGUUUAGCAGAACAUUCUGGAAAGUAUAGCCAUAGAGGGUGAUAGUCCCGUAUGCGAAAAACAAAGCUUAGCUAGCAGUAUCCUGAGUAGGGCGGGACACGAGGAAUCCUGUCUGAAUCCGGGUCGACCACGAUCCAACCCUAAAUACUAAUACCAGAUCGAUAGUGCACAAGUACCGUGAGGGAAAGGUGAAAAGAACUGAGGUGAUCAGAGUGAAAUAGAACCUGAAACCAUUUGCUUACAAUCAUUCAGAGCCCUAUGUAGGAAUACAGGGUGAUGGACUGCCUUUUGCAUAAUGAGCCUGCGAGUUGUGGUGUCUGGCAAGGUUAAGCAAACGCGAAGCCGUAGCGAAAGCGAGUCUGAAUAGGGCGCUUAGUCAGAUGCUGCAGACCCGAAACGAAGUGAUCUAUCCAUGAGCAAGUUGAAGCUAGUGUAAGAACUAGUGGAGGACUGAACCCAUAGGCGUUGAAAAGCCCCGGGAUGACUUGUGGAUAGGGGUGAAAGGCCAAUCAAACUUCGUGAUAGCUGGUUCUCUCCGAAAUAUAUUUAGGUAUAGCGUUGUGUCGUAAUAUAAGGGGGUAGAGCACUGAAUGGGCUAGGGCAUACACCAAUGUACCAAACCCUAUCAAACUCCGAAUACCUUAUAUGUAAUCACAGCAGUCAGGCGGCGAGUGAUAAAAUCCGUCGUCAAGAGGGAAACAACCCAGACUACCAGCUAAGGUCCCUAAAUCUUACUUAAGUGGAAAACGAUGUGAAGUUACUUAAACAACCAGGAGGUUGGCUUAGAAGCAGCCAUCCUUUAAAGAAAGCGUAAUAGCUCACUGGUCUAGUGAUUUUGCGCGGAAAAUAUAACGGGGCUAAAGU